UACGAAGGGGGCGAGCGUUGUUCGGAUUUACUGGGCGUAAAGGGCGCGUAGGCGGCCCUCCUUGUCGCGUGUGAAAGCCCCGGGCUCAACCUGGGAACGGCGCGCGAGACGGGGGGGCUGGAGUUCGGGAGAGGAGCGUGGAAUUCCCAGUGUAGAGGUGAAAUUCGUAGAUAUUGGGAAGAACACCGGUGGCGAAGGCGGCGCUCUGGACCGAGACUGACGCUGAGGCGCGAAAGCGUGGGGAGCAAACAGGAUUGAGAUACCCCGUG
rnacentral:rRNA from 1 species